CCCUAUGGGGUGCAGCAGGCCAUUCAGAUCGGCUACUGCCCCCGGUUGCGCAUCAUACACACCUCGGGCGAAACCAAGGGCCAGAUUUACAUGCCCUGGGUCAAUUCCAUGAUGAUGAUCGGAUGCCUCGGCCUGGCUCUGGCCUUCAAGAAAUCCAGCAAUCUGGCCGCAGCCUACGGCAUCGCCGUGACGGGCACCAUGUGCAUCAGCACGCUCAUCUAUUUUUACGUCACCCGCUACAAUUGGGGCUGGCCGCGCUGGAGGUCGUUGCUCCUUGCCGCCGUCUUCCUGUGCUUCGACCUGUCUUACUUCGGGGCCAACCUGCUCAAGUUUUUCGACGGCGGCUGGUUUGCAGUGAGCGUCGCCGUCUUCCUUUUCGUCGUGAUGGUCACCUGGCGGGAGAGC
rnacentral:rRNA from 1 species